GUCGGACCCGGUUUUUCGGGUGGCUCGGCCCGGCGCCAAUCCCCGGGACAACC
rnacentral:ncRNA from 21 species